AUGAAAUCCUUCUGCCCGCGCACCGGGAUCUUGUGGCUGCGCGUGCGGGCUUCGAACAGCUCAGAUGGGCUGUCAUUGAAUCAGAAGCACAAUAAGUUGCAAGAACUAACUCUGUCUUCUCCAAUUGGUGUCAGCACUGGCUACACGUCUUUCGCACUAUAUAUGGAGGCUAAAGAUCACUCACGCAACCACCCUGGCCCCUCCCAUGGCCAAGCUGUAAAGACAGCAGCAAGAGGUGGCUGGCCAGAUCUGAUCUACCGCAGCCAGUCAGGUGUAGCAACGGCAUUCUGACACACACGCAAACACACACAGUUUGAAUGUUUGAUGAACUCCUUUACACAGCUGACACAUCAAGCCAUCCACCGUUUGUCAACUGACUAAUGACCUUAAAGCCAGCAGUUAAAAGUAAACGUAGGCCUAUGUUAUGCUUCAUUUUGUAUCCUCUGACCUGUUUUGAACAGUACACACACAUUCUAUAAUUCUGCACAAAAAAAGAAUGUGAAAUCCUGACAAGCUCUGGCCGGUAAGGUAAUAAAGCAUUCCCAUCGUCACACACAAAUCAACCUAGUCCCAUUAACACCCCACACUGCAAAUGAGUAAUAGCAGAGAUGAGGAGAGAGAGAGAGAGUGAGGGUGGGAGAUAGAGAGGGCGAGGGCGAGGAAGACAGGGGUGAAAGUAAGGCGGUACAGUCCAGUACUGCUUCCCAGCAAAAUACAUGACCCUAUCACAAUAAUUAAAACAAAAUGUAAAGAAAACUGUAAGCUAUUCCACCAUGAUUUAUCAUUAGGCUACCACAUGUCAGAGGCAUGAAAAAUGAGCGAAUGGACUUCAAAACGGGUGGUAUGGCCUAUGCUCAAAAAAGUGAUGUGGUUCAACAAGAAUAUUGACAUUUUGCCAAGGCAGAGAUGAAUGGCCGACACUGAAACACGCAAGGACAGCAGUGGAUGCAUAAAUUCUGGCCUAAUGACAAUCACCAAAAUGUCAUUACACUUUGUGGUGUUUUGUGGAACAGAUGUCUCUUUCUAUUCACAACUGUUUGGAGGCUGGAAAUAUUUUGCGAGAGAAUGAACGUGCGCGGGUAGCCUAAAGGAGCCCUUUGAUGCCAUUUCGGUAAGAAAUUACAUCUACCCCUAGACAGAGAGAGGAGAACGGAGAGAGAGGAAAACGGAGAGGUAGAAAGUGAGAGACAGAUGGGGGGGGUGGAGAGGGAGACCCAGACAUUCACACUGGGAGCUGUAAUGUGGUGUGGGAAAUGACCAGGGAGGUCUCUGUUUCACUCCAUCCCACGUCUCCUCCGAUCAAAUCAUUUAGUGGAUGCACCCGAUGCAAACCGCCAUGCUCUUUGCUGGGGGUGAGAGGCAGCACCAAUGAAUGGAGGGACAGGGUCGUGGAGGGGUGCUGAGAGAAAGCUCUGGCUGAGCCAAGCAGUGAGGGGGUCCUACGCUUCGACCAGGCCUGGGGGGCUUUUAUGGCUUUUGUCGCC
rnacentral:lncRNA from 1 species